rnacentral:RNase_P_RNA from 1 species
GAGCGCGUGAGUGAGGAUCGCCGAUGGUUUAUGCCAUCGGAGGAAAGUCCGAGCUCCGCAGGGCAGGGUGCCGGGUAACGCCCGGGCGCCGAAAGGCGACGGAAAGUGCAACAGAGAGUAGACCGCCGAUGGCCGCUUGCGGCACAGGCAAGGGUGAAAGGGUGCGGUAAGGGCGCACCGGGCUUCCGGUAACGGGAGUCGCAAGGCAAACCCCACCCGGAGCAAGGCCAAAUAGGGGACAAGGAGUUGCUCGCUCCGACUGAGUCCUGGGUAGGCCGCACGAGGCUGCCGGCAACGGUAGUCCUAGAGGAAUGAUCCUCCCCCGCGAGGGGACAGAACUCGGCUUAUUUCACGCGCUCGUCU